rnacentral:lncRNA from 1 species
GGUAAAUUAGGUUUGAGCUUGAGAUUGGCCUUUUUAGUUGUAAUUUUGGGUUGAUAAUCGAGUUUGUAUAACUGGACAUUUGGACUGUUAUUUAAUUUUUAUUUAUUUUUGUGUUUUUUUCUUUUUUUUUGGUUUCUCUUUUGGUGUUUACUGGGCCGGGCAAAUUGGGCUAUUACACUUAUUAUACAAACCAAAUAUAUGAAAG